rnacentral:rRNA from 1 species
GAAACCGGGGCUAAUACCGGAUAACGCAUCGAACCGCAUGGUUCGAUGAUCAAAGAUGGCUUCUAGCUAUCACUCACAGAUGGGCCCGCGGCGCAUUAGUUAGUUGGUGAGGUAACGGCUCACCAAGGCGACGAUGCGUAGCCGACCUGAGAGGGUGAUCGGCCACACUGGGACUGAGACACGGCCCAGACUCCUACGGGAGGCAGCAGUAGGGAAUCAUCCGCAAUGGACGCAAGUCUGACGGUGCAACGCCGCGUGAGCGAUGAAGGUCUUCGGAUCGUAAAGCUCUGUUGUGAGGGAAGAACAAGUGCCGUUCGAAUAGGGCGGCACCUUGACGGUACCUCACCAGAAAGCCCCGGCUAACUACGUGCCAGCAGCCGCGGUAAUACGUAGGGGGCAAGCGUUGUCCGGAAUUAUUGGGCGUAAAGCGCGCGCAGGCG